rnacentral:misc_RNA from 3 species
CCUUUACAUGCCUCUUCAUUCAUCUACCCAAGAGCAUUGUUAGCCUGGGGAAGAUGCGGGUUUCCUGUGUUGCAUACCUUUCAAAAGGAAUUCAUAUGUUAUCAAUGCUUAACAUUCGCCUUGUGCUGUCCCAGUGUUAGGUGAAUCCCUAUGCGCUGUCUGUGUUCCCGGCGAGUCACAUUAUGUGUAUUUGCACGGGCCCAUGGAUUCCCGCAUGAGCUCUUGAAUACAGAAAACCAAGACGGUACGAGGUCGUUGACCUCUACGUGCCCGAAUUAAAGCGUUAAUCGCUACUACCAAACGACUGCUGUCGUUGUAUCGAGGUGGCAGACUCAUCGGGUCUUCUGUC